rnacentral:rRNA from 1 species
GGCGGCGUGCCUAAUACAUGCAAGUAGAACGCUGAAGAGAGGAGCUUGCUCUUCUUGGAUGAGUUGCGAACGGGUGAGUAACGCGUAGGUAACCUGCCUUGUAGCGGGGGAUAACUAUUGGAAACGAUAGCUAAUACCGCAUAACAAUGGAUGACACAUGUCAUUUAUUUGAAAGGGGCAAUUGCUCCACUACAAGAUGGACCUGCGUUGUAUUAGCUAGUAGGUGAGGUAAUGGCUCACCUAGGCGACGAUACAUAGCCGACCUGAGAGGGUGAUCGGCCACACUGGGACUGAGACACGGCCCAGACUCCUACGGGAGGCAGCAGUAGGGAAUCUUCGGCAAUGGGGGCAACCCUGACCGAGCAACGCCGCGUGAGUGAAGAAGGUUUUCGGAUCGUAAAGCUCUGUUGUAAGUCAAGAACGGGUGUGAGAGUGGAAAGUUCACACUGUGACGGUAGCUUACCAGAAAGGGACGGCUAACUACGUGCCAGCAGCCGCGGUAAUACGUAGGUCCCGAGCGUUGUCCGGAUUUAUUGGGCGUAAAGCGAGCGCAGGCGGUUUGAUAAGUCUGAAGUUAAAGGCUGUGGCUCAACCAUAGUUCGCUUUGGAAACUGUCAAACUUGAGUGCAGAAGGGGAGAGUGGAAUUCCAUGUGUAGCGGUGAAAUGCGUAGAUAUAUGGAGGAACACCGGUGGCGAAAGCGGCUCUCUGGUCUGUAACUGACGCUGAGGCUCGAAAGCGUGGGGAGCGAACAGGAUUAGAUACCCUGGUAGUCCACGCCGUAAACGAUGAGUGCUAGGUGUUGGAUCCUUUCCGGGAUUCAGUGCCGCAGCUAACGCAUUAAGCACUCCGCCUGGGGAGUACGACCGCAAGGUUGAAACUCAAAGGAAUUGACGGGGGCCCGCACAAGCGGUGGAGCAUGUGGUUUAAUUCGAAGCAACGCGAAGAACCUUACCAGGUCUUGACAUCCCGAUGCUAUUUCUAGAGAUAGAAAGUUACUUCGGUACAUCGGUGACAGGUGGUGCAUGGUUGUCGUCAGCUCGUGUCGUGAGAUGUUGGGUUAAGUCCCGCAACGAGCGCAACCCCUAUUGUUAGUUGCCAUCAUUCAGUUGGGCACUCUAGCGAGACUGCCGGUAAUAAACCGGAGGAAGGUGGGGAUGACGUCAAAUCAUCAUGCCCCUUAUGACCUGGGCUACACACGUGCUACAAUGGUUGGUACAACGAGUUGCGAGUCGGUGACGGCGAGCUAAUCUCUUAAAGCCAAUCUCAGUUCGGAUUGUAGGCUGCAACUCGCCUACAUGAAGUCGGAAUCGCUAGUAAUCGCGGAUCAGCACGCCGCGGUGAAUACGUUCCCGGGCCUUGUACACACCGCCCGUCACACCACGAGAGUUUGUAACACCCGAAGUCGGUGAGGUAACCUUUUGGAGCCAGCCGCCUAAGGUGGGACAGAUGA